CGUACGAACUUCGUACGAUGUAUCUCAGGCUGUUUAGCCGUUUUAUUAAGAUUUUCGUACGAACAAGCAUCUGUUUCUUCGUACAGUAGAUCUACGAAAAUUUCUACGAAAGCUCUUAGGGUGGCGUACGAACUUCGUAAACUAAAAAAUGGCCGCCACAACAACACAAAUAUUCUAUAUUGGCGAUCUUUCAUUUAUUAUGGCGUAUUUUAGUAUUUACAGAAGACGACUCUGUGGAAUCUGCAACCCGGUGAGUAAAUUAACAAAUCGUUACGACGCCGUUUUGACUAAAUUUUCAGGGGACGCAACCUCGCGCCAACUGUCAAAAUGUUUUGAAAAACAAAAUGCUCUUAUUUCGACGCAUUUCAAGAGUUUUGUUGUGAUAAAAUCACUGGAAUAUAGACUGAAAUACUAUCCAACCAUUAGACUCAUGAUCUUGACAUGGAUCCAAGAUGCUGGUAACUAGGCAGGACGGAUUGUUUCACAGAACUGCAGGUUUCUGGAUGGAGACUCAGCGCCAUGUCACAAAUACUUCAGAACCUAGAAUGAAAGUUACUGAAAGAGCAAUAGACUUUCCAAUCUCUACAAAAUUCAUCUUAACUGUUCUUCAAGGUGAUACUUGAGACUACCAAAGACUUUUCAAGGACAGAAUUCACAAAACAGUUUAUGCCACCAUCUCAUAUCAAAGGAUUGUGCUUGAGUUGAACAGCCUUCAAACAGAAACUGUUUCAACACCUUCAAUGGAUUCAUUCUGAUUCAGUUUACUCUUGCUGUGAUCUGAGCAACUAUUUACAUCAGUUCAACAUUGUAAAUUGUUUAAACUUGAAAAUUAUGUCUUCUUACAACUCACAUGAAUCUAUUUACUGUGGACUUUGAUGUUGACUCUAUACAGGAAGAAGAGACCAUCUUUAUACAUGCUGGCAUAUCAUUUAAAAAGGAAACAAAUUUUAUAACCAACAUACUGCACUGUUAUGUCAUCCAAGGACUCAGCUACUGACUCAAUUUAUAAAUACUUCAAAGGAAAAAAUGUCUCUGUCAAUGUAAUUACUGUUGUGCAUAAUAAGACAUUUUUUAUUAUGCCCCCUUCGAAGAAGAGGGGUAUAUUGCUUUGCACAUGUCGGUCGGUCGGUCGGUACCGUCUACCGUCUGUAGACCAAAGCUUGUCCGAGUGAUAACUCAACCAUUCCUGGACGUAUGGUCAUCAAACUUGACAUGAAGGUUGGGCCUGACCAGUAGAUGAUUUUAGGGCUCAUCGGGUCAAAGGUCAAGGUCACAGUGACCUUGAACGGUAAACUAAUUUUAAAGCUUGUCCAAGUGAUAACUUAACAAUGCCUAGACCUAUGGUCAUCAAACUUGAUAUGGAAGUUGGGCCUCAUAAGUAGAUGACCCCUAUUGUUUUUGGGGAUCAUCGAGCCAAAGAUCAAGGUCACAGUGACCUUGAAUGGUAAAAGGUUGUCCAAGUGAUAAAUCAACAAUGCCUGCACCCAUGGCCCUCAAACUUGACUUGGAGGUUGGGCUUUACCAGUAGAUGACCCCUAUUGAUCUUAGGCGUCAAAGGCCAAGGUCACAGUGAUCUUGAAAGCAAACUCGACAAUUCCUGGACCAAUGGUCAUCAAACUUGACAUAAAGGUUGGGCCUGACCAGUCAUCGAGCCAAGGUCAAGGUCACAAUAACCUUUAAUGCAAAAAAAAUAAAAAUCUUCUCCCAGUGAUAUCUCAACAAUGCCUGAACCUAUGAUCAUCAAACUUGACAUGGAAGUUGGGUCUGACAAGGAGAUGACGCUUAUUGAUUUUAGGAGUCAUUGGGUCAAACGUCAAGGUCACAGUGACAUUGAUUGAAAAAAGCUUGUCUGUGUGAUAACUUGUCAAUGCCUGAACCCAUGUCCCUCAAACUUGACAUUUAUAUUUUGUAGACCAGCUGAUGACUCAUAUGGAUUUUGAGGUCAUAGAGUCAAAGGUCAUGGUCAUUACACACUCUAUCCUCACACUUUGAAUGGUCAUAAUCUUAAAACUGCCUCAACGGCAUCCAAUGUCAGGGCCAAAAAAAAAAUACAUUUG